GAUGCUGAGUUCUCUAAAUUGCUUCACAUAAGAUGUAACACAAAACCACAUGUUCACCACUACAGGAAUAGUGUGGAAAACCAGGUGGUAACCAGGGUCUGCCUACCAGCACAAGGAACUCCAGAAAACUAUUCUUGGUGAUAACAGCAAAACCUCUACAGAAAUUUCACAUCUGCUAAAGCACAUGGCAUUUGCCUAGCACUGCCAAAGGAAAAAAAUAAUGUAUUCUUGUCUCCCUUCCACCUUCAAAAUCAUGCUCCAGUGCGCCUUGUUGUUAGAACAUAAAUUGUAUUCUAUUCCAUAGAGUCAAGAGAAUCUAGAGAAUGUGGUUUCUAAAUUCCCAGCUCCUUCAAAACAGAAGAAACCUUAGAAGGGUUUUGCUGCUUGCAAAAUGAAAUUAAACCUGCACACUUAUUUCUGUUCUCUUAAUAAAGACUUUGAAGAGGUUAA